GACGAACGCUGGCGGUGUGCUUAACACAUGCAAGUCGAACGGUAAGGUCCUUUCGGUGGUCCACGAGUGGCGAACGGGUGCGUAACACUUGAGUAACCUGCCCCCAUCUCUGGGAUAACAGUCGGUAACGGUUGCCAAUACUGGAUAUGAGCUUGCAAGGCAUCCUGUGGGUUGUAAAGAUUUUUUUUGUUUGGGGAUGGAUUCUCGGACUAUCCGCUUGUUAAUGGGUUAGUGGCUCACCAAGGCUUCGACGGGUAGCCGGCCUGAGAGAGCGGCGGGCCAGACUGGACGUCUGAGACAGCCAGAACUCGUACGGGAGGCAGCAGUGGGGAAUAUUGCACAAAGGACGGAAGUGUGAUGGAGCAAGGCCGCGUGCGGGAUGACGGCCUUCGGGAGGUAAACCGCAAUCAGUUAUGACGAAGCUUUUUUGUGACGGUAGCAGUAGAAAAAGCACCGGCUAACUACGUG
rnacentral:rRNA from 1 species